AUUGAACGCUGGCGGCAGGCCUAACACAUGCAAGUCGAGCGAGCGGCGGACGGGUGAGUAAUGUCUGGGGAACUGCCUGAUGGAGGGGGAUAACUACUGGAAACGGUGGCUAAUACCGCAUACCAUCAGAUGUACCCAUAUGGGAUUAGCUAGUAGGUAAGGUAACGGCUUACCUAGGCGACGAUCCCUAGCUGGUCUGAGAGGAUGAACAGCCACACUGGGACUGAGACACGGCCCAGACUCCUACGGGAGGCAGCAGUGGGGAAUAUUGCACAAUGGGCGCAAGCCUGAUGCAGCCAUGCCGCGUGUGUGAAGAAGGCCUUCGGGUUGUAAAGCACUUUCAGUCGGGAGGCGUUACCGGCAGAAGAAGCACCGGCUAACUCCGUGCCAGCAGCCGCGGUAAUUC
rnacentral:rRNA from 1 species